rnacentral:lncRNA from 1 species
CGUUGGCAUGACACGGGUUAUGUUCUUCUCAUAUAUUUUAUGAUAGUAUGAUACUAAACCCCUAACGGGAGGGAUUGUACCUGAUAUUCAUAUGAUGAAGACAUAAUCUUUCAAUCAGUUUGAUUGAGGUCUGGAGCUGGCAUGUCAGUUAACUGCUAGUAGUCUGUUGUUAUUUAUGUAUUAUUGUCAUUUUAUUUAUUUUCUUUUGUUACAUCUUUU